GGACUUAAUUAACUUCACCUUCAAGGUGUACAAUAACAGAAAAAAGUUGCAAUUCCUUGCCUCCACUGUGAGACAAACCCCAGCCACAUCUCCAGCACACAAGAACUUCCAAACGCCUGAACCGCAGCGGCCAGGUGUUCCUCCAGAACCUCCUCCCACAGGAGCUUGCUACACGUGCCGGAAAUCUGGCCACUGGGCCAAGGAAUGCCCGCAGCCCGGGAUUCCUCCUAAGCCGCGUCCCAUCUGUGUGGGACCCCACUGAAAAUCGGACUGUUCAACUCUCCUGGCAGCCACUGCCAGAGCCCCUGGAACUCUGGCCCAAGGCUCUCUGACUGACUCCUUCCCAGAUCUUCUCGGCUUAGCGGCUGAAGACUGACACUGCCCGAUCGCCUCGGAAGCCCCCUAGACCAUCACGGACGCCGAGCUUCGGUAACUCUCACAGUGGAAGAGACCUUGAAGAUUUGUUGUUCAAGGAGAAACUGAAGAGCAAGAAGGAAAGUGAGAGCCAGCAAUACCAGCAGAGCCAGAUCUGAGCUGGGAGAAGGGGAGAAAGUUUGUGAAGAGGAGAUCGGUGACCUGGGCUCCUUAUGUGCCUGAAAGAGUUUGAGUUUCCUGUUAACUCCAAAUCAACAGUAUUUUCAACAAGAAAUGUGCAAUUGAAAUCAAGUGCUGUUUAAGUGCAGCUAGGAUUUCCACAGGAAGACACUUGCAGUGAACAGAGUUAUGGAGCAGCAAAAACACAGAUCUAUUUGGAAAAAGAGAAAACAUAUGCGUUGUAUUUUGCUUCAAUUAUAAAAUACCAUCCUCUCAAAGGUGGUUCUAAAUUACAAAGGACUUUGAUUUCUAG
rnacentral:lncRNA from 10 species